rnacentral:lncRNA from 1 species
GAUGUCAAUGGGCCGGAUUUUAUGGAGAACUUCUAAAAACUCGAAUUCAAAUCUGACUAUAAACCUAAAACUCGAAUUCAAAUCCGACGAAUUUUAAAAACAUAUAUUCAAAUCCAAAUCCGACCAAAAAUUCAAAGAGAAAUGAUUCUAUACUUUAUUUUAUAAAAAGUAAAUCUUAACCGUUGAUCAAUAAAGAGUAAAAGUGUCAUUUUAUAUGUAGCAGGUUAAAAGGUCACUUCAUGUCUAGGGUAUUUUUGUAAUUAAAUAUCACAAAAUUUAAAUAAAGUUUUGAUUGAUAUCCCAAAUUUUGAUAUUAAUUUUGCACUAAUUUAAACAUUAAUUUAAGAAAUUGAUUGAUAUCCCAAAUUUAGGUAUUAAUUUUGCACUAAUUUAGACAUUAAUUUUAGAAAUUUUAGAAUUCUUAUAAUUUAGGCAUUAAUUUAAAUUUUAGGAAUUUUAGAAAUUAUACGAUUUCUAAAUAUGUUGAAUUUAAAUAUUAAAAUAUUUAAAUUUAAAAAAUCAAAUUUAAAUUAGAGGAAUUUUGUAUUGCUAUUUUUUAAAAAAUUAAUGUUGGUAAAUUUUUAAAUUCAACAUAUUUAAUAUGUUUAAAAUUUUUUUGAUUUCUCUGGUUUAGACAUUAAUUUUGUAUCACUAAUUUUUUUUAAAAAAAAUGAAUGUAGGUAAAUAUUUAAUUUCAACAUAGUUCAUAUGUUUAAAAAAUUUUAGGAUUUUUCUAAUUUAGACAUUAAUUUUGUAUUACUAUUUAUACUUUUUAAUAUUGAUAAAUAUUUAAAUUCAGCAUAUUUAAUAUGUUGAGACAAUUGCUUACAUAUCUUUUAAAAGUUUUCGACUUUCUGAUUUAACUCUCUUAGAAAGUUAAUAUUAAAAAUAUCUUUUUAACAUUUCAAGUUAUUUCAAAUAUAAUUUAAAGUUAAAUUCUGUUAGUAAACUAUUAGCAACAAUCGUUAUCUCUGUGAAAUUAUUAUUUUACUCUUUCAAAUAUAUCCUUCUACUAUCACCUAAUUUUCUAUUUGCCCAUGAUAUAGGGGCAAAAGAAGCAUUUUAAUUUUGUUGUCUUUUCGAAUAUACCCUUCUACCUUCACUAGUUUUUCUUAUUUACCCUGAAGUUAAGGGUAAAAAAGAUAUUUUGAUUUUUUAAACUCAGGUGAAAAUUUAACCCGGGUUUUAUCUAAGAUAACUUAACAAGUACUAACAGCGGAGAUAUUUUUGAAUAACGGAGAGCUAUACAAGGGAUGUAUUUGAAACAAAAGAAAAAAGAAUAAAUUGGAUAUUUCAGAAGUUUUCAUGGGUAUAUUAGAUAUUAUUCCUAAUA